GACGAACGCUGGCGGCGUGCCUAAUACAUGCAAGUCGGGCGGGUCUAUCGAGGUAGCUUGCCACUUUGAUAGGCCAGCGGCGGACGGGUGAGUAACGCGUGGGCAACCUACCUUGUAGUCUGGGAUAACGGGUCGAAAGGCCUGCUAAUACCGGAUGAGCUCGCGAGGUCGCAUGGUCUUACGAGGAAAGGGGAGACCCGCUACAAGAUGGGCCCGCGUCCCAUUAGCUAGUUGGUGAGGGUAACGGCCCACCAAGGCGACGAUGGGUAGCCGGCCUGAGAGGCGGUCGGCCACACUGGAACUGAGAUACGGUCCAGACUCCUACGGGAGGCAGCAUG
rnacentral:rRNA from 1 species